rnacentral:rRNA from 1 species
AUGUCGAUGACGGCCGGCCACAUACCGCAGCCGGCGCGGCUUGCUUCCAGUGGGGGCGCGCGAGCGCACCCACUGGGUGUAGCCUCUGAGCCUCCGGGCGACGCGAAGAGUCGGCCGGAGGGUCUUGCUGUUGAUGAUGUGGACAGCGGCGAUGGAAACACCGGUUGCGGCCGGCGUCAGUCCCGCAACCCGCGUGUAGCCUCCGAGUCUCCGGACGAGGAGGGGGUUCCCCUCAGCGAUGAUCUUGCAAAAGACAAAGUUACUCCGCGCAUAUAUAUAUAUCAAAUAUUUGCUUUCAGCAUUGUAAGUUUUAUGCGGAGGGUGCCGACUCGGUUUCGUCUGAGCCCCCUUCAGUCUUCUUCAAGUCCCCUCUGCUCUUUGGCUUUGCCUCUGGUUAGCUAG